AGAAGACUUGAAGUAUCUUGAGAAAAUCGAGCUUGAUAUGGAAAAUAAUGGAAGCACUACUAGCAUUGUUUGAUGUAUAGUUGCAACUUGCAUCUUGAGUGGUUCAAGUGCAAUCAUGCCCCGUGCUACUGCUCAACGCCCCGUGCUACUGCUCAAGAGUCAAGACUGUUUGUUGAUGAAU